CAACUUUGUUUUUUAUGUUCAGUUAAAUUGGAAUUCGAUGAAAACUGGUUUGUCGCUAGAUGGUAUCGUGGUUUAAAACAUCUGGCGGACAAAUUUUGAACUUUUAUCAUUGUUAUCUAUUUUUGCUGCAUGAUCAUGAAAAAUGGAUGGUGUGUGUGGUUAUGGUCCCUAUUCUUUGUGUUUUUGAAGGAUUAUUUAGCUAAAAUCUAAUGAGUUGGGAGAAGAUCAAUGCCACAUAUUCUGUAGACUGGAAUACCUCCAAUGGCUUCGAGUACUAUUUGUUAUCACAGUUGACUGUUAGUUUUGUGAUACAUCCAUUUGACAACUGCAAAGUGUCCCUCUUCUUUAUGGUGCCAACAAUCAACAUCAUCAUUUCAGCAUCCAAUUUGGCUCAUCUCCAGUUAGCCAGCCAUUGGUUAAUUACAUCACCCUAUUUUGGAUAAGAAAAUGUUCAUCUAUGUAUUGCUGUGAAAUCAGCGUUCCUACACUUUGUCCAGUCUUUACCAUCCAUUGACUUAAUAUUAUUUUAAACUCUUCAUCCCUGCACUUUUCCGUCUUCGUCUGUGUCGUCCCGUCUUCAGUUAAUCGUCGCUUCUCCAGGUCUUCGCAUCGUUUCCGUUUUGUCGCCAGUUUCUCCACCGUCUCAUCGCCAUCUUGGUCUUCGCCAUCGUCUCAUCGCCGUCUUGGUCUUCGCCAUCGUCUCAUCGCCGUCUUGGUCUUCGCCAUCGUCUCAUCGCCGUCUUGGUCUUCGCCAUCGUCUCAUCGCCGUCUUGGUCUUCGCCAUCGUCUCAUCGCCGUCUUGGUCUUCGCCGUAUCUCCGUCCUUCGCAACGAUGGAACAAUCAGAUCCAGAAAAAAAAACUCAUGGCGAUCGAGCGUGACCUCACCGUGGAACUUUUCGGGUAUAGUUUUGUUUUGUAUUGUUUUGUGUAUUGUAUAGUUAAUCCGUUGGCUGCCACCCCGUUUGCUCCCAUUUUUUUUUUAGCUGUAGGGACCAAGCGCACUGCUCUGCCGCAUGGCCAUGGGGUAGGGCAGUGCUCCGCCGCAAGGCGGCUAGGCAAUGCACCAGCAGGGAAUUCUCUUUGUUCGAUGCGGUGAUGGUUUCCUGAGGGUGUGCAUUCCCUGUAAAGGUUUCCAUCACCGUGUUAGCCCAGGCUUGUCUUCGGACAAGUCCCCCUUGGUCAGCGAUCCUUCAGACGCGAGACGUAGCUACUGUAGUUUAAGCAACCUACGGGUUGCAUGGCCUGGCAGCCAACGGGUUAACUAGUUUGUUGUAUGUGUAUGUAUGUAUGUAUUUAUUUGUAUUUGUAAUUAUAUAUGUAUUGUGUUGUAUGUAAAAUAGUGGUGGAAUUGUGGGUGGAGGAGGGACAAUAAAACAAUUCUUUCGUUAA